UUAAAAAGUUUCAAGCACAAAAAUGUUGGCAAUUUUAAAGUUUUCGUGCUUCUGAGCAUAAAACUAUAGAGACUAACCAUCUUGGUUUCUUGAAGAGCUAAUUCCAAUGCUUUGAGUUUCUGGUAGAUAAAGAUCAUUCAGCAUCAGAAUUCUGCAUAAGACUUGAGACAAUUGCAUGAAACAAAUAUUUUGGACAGUAUAACUCACAAGAAAUCAUGUGACUAUGCGGGUACCUCUUUUGAAACUAUGUCAUUGUUCUGUCCAUUAUUAAUUUCCUCAGCUUCAGAAACAAUCUGCAUGAAACAAAAUUAAAGAAGUUUCUGCCAGAUGAAAAGUUAACCUGAAGCAUUUCUGUAAUAUCCGGAUUGUUCCAGGGUCCUUUGUCACUAAAUAAGCAACCACCGUAAUCAGAACAUGUACAAUUUCCGCCCAAGAAACUUGGCAGAUUACUGCAUAAUUAUGAAUUAGAAAACUCAAUUAUGCAGGUGAAACUUCAAUGUAUAAAUACAUACAUAUAUAAAUAAAUAUUCCACCUUGCAUCUAUAACUUCAAGCAGAUUAUUCUGGUAGUUGGAUCCCA